ensembl:snoRNA
AUCUGUUUGUGAUCCAUAAGUGUUAUGCUUGGGUUUUUAUACUAAUGUGUGAGAUGUGACUCCUUCAAACUUCCUUGUUAUGACAUAAGCACAUUACUCAACUGAUG